AUCUCUUGGUUCCAGCAUCGAUGAAGAACGCAGCGAAAUGCGAUAAGUAAUGUGAAUUGCAGAAUUCAGUGAAUCAUCGAAUCUUUGAACGCACAUGGCGCCCCUCGGUAUUCCGGGUGGCAUGCCUGUUCGAGCGUCAUU
rnacentral:rRNA from 1 species